GGAGCGAAGCGGCUCGACUGAGGUUAGGAAGGAGAGGAGCGAAGGUACUCGUAGUUUCAAAUAUAGGAGAGGAGCGAAGGUACUCGACUGAGGUUAGGAAGGAGAGGAGCGAAGGUACUCGACUGAGGUUAGGAAGGAGAGGAGCGAAGGUACUCGACUGAGGUUAGGAAGGAGAGGAGCGAAGGUACUCGACUGAGGUUAGGAAGGAGAGGAGCGAAGGUACUCGACUGAGGUUAGGAAGGAGAGGAGCCCGACGAUUAAUAGAAGAAUUUGCGAAAAACCACUAAAAUAGCGAGACUGAAAGG